UUACAACAUCACCGGAACUUUC
rnacentral:siRNA from 1 species